rnacentral:lncRNA from 1 species
UAUGCUAGUACAUAUAUCGAUCGCACCUUGACUUAACAGGUGAAAAGCUUCCUGAUAGCCAUUUUGUUGAAGGUAUUAUUUCUGCUGGUUAAUUCAAUAUUCUUCAAAUUGAACGUCAAUUCAAGUCUUAAAAAUGACAAUGAUGCACACAUUUAAGAAUCGAAUGCUUAUUCUUGUAAAUUUAUUGAUUUUAAAAGCGUUUACCGAAGUACAUUUUGUAUGAAUGGCGAAAGCGCUUCAUUUUAAAAAUAUCCAUGAAAGUUCAAUUGAAGUAAAUGUAAGCAAUUAUAGGAAGCCGUAUUGUCGUCAACUUUUAGGAAACCCAAUAUCUUAUAGUCGUCUAUAACAGGCAUCGCAAUGAAAUGUAUUACACAAUUUAAACAAUAAAAACUCACGGCCUGAUUUAUAACUAAACAAUUUAUGAAAAACACAAAUGAAUGACAUAAAACUACGAAAACCACUGAACUACCGGUUCUCGACUUGGGACAGGCAUAUACAUAUUUUGACGGGACGAAACAUGUCUGCUAGCGCUCUAUCCUCUCCUAAGAUGAGACAGUGGUGUAACAGCACAACAUAAGAACAAACUAUAAAAAUCAGUUGGCAUUGGCUCAUGUUAAAAUGUAUGUUUAAGGCACAAAACCAAGUAGAACAAAAACAAUAGCACAGAGCACCGCGAAAACAGUUCCUUCUACUAAAGGAUUGUACAAAGCCAAUACCCACUAUCAAUAAAUUACGUUCUACCGGACUAAACUAUCAAACAAUACCAAUCCGUGGAUUAAGUAUGAAGACGUUAAAAACAGUCUAAUAAACGUCUGACCUGCUGCCAUUUUUCGGUGUGUGCCAAGGCACCGUGAUGAAGGCUGUACUUAAAUUUUAAAACUAAAAAAAACCCAAAAAACACUGUGACUUGCAUAGAGUUGUUUAGUUGACACAUUUACCACAUCUCCUUAUUCAUUUGUACUCCCAUUAAUCAAUCCCCGUUAUUGGUGUGAACGGCUUAUUUUCUUUUCCUUAUCGCUAGUUUUGUGAAUUGUCGGCUUUUUAUAUUAAAAUAAGCCGAUUUUGCAUGAUUCAUUUUGAAACAACAAUUUACAAGUUGGCAAAGAACAAACAUAAUGUCACCCUACAGCCUUCAACAAUGAAAAACACGUAUCGUAUAGUAAUUGAUAAACUGUCAAAUAAAACAGCCAUUUAAAUGUGAAAGCUAUAAAAAUAGAAAAACAAUGAACUCAUUUAUAUUCAAACAUCAACGGAAAACAAAUGAAGCAGACCUCUAUCAAUUGAACCACAUAAUCAAUAUUUGUCAUAUAAUGAAACCAUAUUUGUUUUCCAAACAAUUCUAUCAUCUCUAUUUCACAGACAAACUGUACUUGAACAAGUUCGUGUCCUAUAAAAUACCGCUUGUAUCAUGAAACUUUAAUAAAUUGAACACUCUUUCAAAAGACAGCUGAAUUCGUCUCAACUCAACCACGGUGUGGGAUUAUCACGAUGUUCAAUAGCAUCAUCGAAGCACAUUAAAGGCAAUUUGGUCAUAUCGUCUCAAAUCCCUAUCAACACAUUCAAUAGAGCAGGAAAGUUCCAUACGAACAAAGAAAAUCUUUAUGUGUAAAAUUUUGUAUCCACUUCUUUGGAAUUCAGUUGAAAAAAGUAACCAUAUUAUGGUCAUUUUAUAUGAAGAUGACACACUAUUUUUUUUUAAGAUAAAGCUUUUAAGAAGUUAGAAUUCACAAUAGCACAUUUUUAAAAUUAUUUUUAUUUUAGAAAUAACACAGCCAAAUACUGCGAACCGUGCACUGCACGGCGUAAGACUCAAGGCUUACAAUGGUGUACCGAAUGUGAAGAAGCACUGUGUUCCGAAUGUACAGAAGCUCACAAAGUUCAAAAAAUGUCUCGAAGUCACCAUUUGGUUGAAAUAGGUAAAAUACCAAACAAAAUUGAUUUAUCGUAUUAUUGUUCAAAACAUCAACAUUUGCCUUUUGAUUAUUUUUGUGUUGAUCAUGAUGUUAUUUGUUGUGAGGAAUGUUUGCCAAAAGAUCAUCGAGCAUGUAAGAACGUCACAUCAAUUGAUAUUGCGUCAAAGAAUUCUAAGCAGUCACAGUCAUUCCUGGACUAUAACGAACAGUUGAGCUUUAUUUCAGAUGCAUUAGAAAAAUUGAAAAAAAAUCGGAAGGAAAAUAGUAGUCGAAUAGAACUAGAAGAAAGUAAAAUAAGGAAAGAAAUAGCAAAAGCAAAAGAAAAUGUCAUCAAAGGCUUGGAAUCUUUAGAAAAGUCGCUUCUUAAACAACUAACCGAAUUGAAGGACAAAGCUAUGACUGGUAUUAAAGUUCAAGAGAAAGAUAUAGGUGAAUUAGUGACAUCAACAGAAGCCCAAAAGGAAGCUUUAGAAUUUAUAAGAGAUCAUGGUUCUGAGAAACAAACAUUUAUUUUAAUUCAUUCAUCUAAACCAAUCUUAGAUGAGAUUGAAAACAAAGUGAACCAGCUGAGAGAAUCGUUGGUAGACACCAGCCUAAGGUUUUUAGAAAAACACUCGAAAGAAUAUGUGACGGAUAUCGGUUCGAUAGAAUCGAAGGAAACUCCUAGUUCAGUUUCAAUUGUCCCUUACAAGCAGAGGCAGUCACCGGUUCCAAUUGUUCUGAAGCACAACAUUAGCUCGUUCACCUAUCUUCGUGACAUCGACAUGAAAGGAAAAAAGUUGAAUGGAGUAACUGGCAUCACAAUAUCAGAUGAUAAAAUAUUGAUUUUCUGUGAUAGUCUGUGUAAAGAAAAGGUAUAUUUUUGUGAUGAAAACGAUACCUAUCAAUCAUGUAUCAAUGCUAAAUAUAAACCAUGGGAUAUAACAGCUAUACCAGAAACAACCACAGCUGUUGUGUCUUGUAAAUCUACACCGUACAUACAGUUGAUAGAUAUAGAUAGACAGAAAAUAUUAAAGAAGAUAGAAGUGAAACAAGGUGAAUGUUAUGGUGUUGCUGCUACAAAAGAAAACAUAUAUAUCGGAACUAUAGGGAAAAUAUAUGUCCUAGACCUACGUGGAAAUUUCGUUAGAACAAUACAUUUGAAAAACGUAGAUCAUUACAUUAGUUACAUUUCCGUUUGCUCAAAUGGAAACAUCUGUUAUUCAACUUUCAAUGAAGUCCAAUGCAUUACGUCAGAUGGAGAACCUGUUUUCUCUUAUACUUCUCCCGAUCUUCGGCAUGCACGAGGUAUUCAAAUUGAUGAUGCUGGCAAUUUACUCGUCCUUGGACGGGAUAACAUCCAUAUUCUUACAUCUUCUGGAAUCUUAGUCGACAUUUUAUCACCAGAUAAUGUGUACAAUCCUCUUGCAUUUUAUUACAAUGAGAAACUAUCAAAAGUUUACAUUGCAAAUAAUUGUGGUAGAACACUAUCAGUAUUCAAGACGAAAUAGUAGUGAUGUCAACGGUUAACCAUGGGAAGGACCGAACAUCUAAUUCCAAAAACGCUAACCGGUUAAUCGGACUUGUGUUCAAUUCUAAUAGAUUUGAAAUAAAUGUGUAUUGAAAUCAUUGAAUAAUUUUGUUCUGCUUAAACAUUAUUGUCGUGUUAAUUUAUUUGACAGAUCAAUUGUCCA